rnacentral:rRNA from 1 species
CGCCUAACACAUGCAAGUCGAGCGAGAAAGGGAGCAAUCCCCGGUACAGCGGCGCACGGGUGAGUAACACGUAGGUAAUCUGCCCUUGAGUUGGGGAUAACCUUCCGAAAGGAGGGCUAAUACCGAAUGAGACCACGGAGUCGAGAGGCUCUGAGGUCAAAGCCGGCCACUUCACGAAAGCUGGUGCUUAAGGAUGAGCCUGCGGCCCAUCAGCUAGUUGGUAGGGUAAUGGCCUACCAAGGCUAAGACGGGUAGCUGGUCUGAGAGGAUGAUCAGCCACACUGGAACUGAGACACGGUCCAGACUCCUACGGGAGGCAGCAGUGGGGAAUCUUGCGCAAUGGGCGAAAGCCUGACGCAGCGACGCCGCGUGAGUGAUGAAGGCCUUCGGGUUGUAAAGCUCUGAGGAGGGGGACGAAUAAGUGUUGGCUAACAUCCAGCAUGAUGACGGUACCCCUUUAGCAAGCACCGGCUAACUCUGUGCCAGCAGCCGCGGUAA